GAUGAACGCUGGCGGCGUGCCUAAUACAUGCAAGUCGAGCGAACGGACGAGGAGCUUGCUUCUCUGAUGUUAGCGGCGGACGGGUGAGUAACACGUGGAUAACCUACCUAUAAGACUGGGAUAACUUCGGGAAACCGGAGCUAAUACCGGAUAAUAUUUUGAACCGCAUGGUUCAAAAGUGAAAGACGGUCUUGCUGUCACUUAUAGAUGGAUCCGCGCUGCAUUAGCUAGUUGGUAAGGUAACGGCUUACCAAGGCAACGAUGCAUAGCCGACCCGAGAGGGUGAUGGGCAACACUGGAACUGAGACACGGUCAAGACUCCUACGGGAGGCAGCAGUAGGGAAUCUUCCGCAAUGGGCGAAAGCCUGCCGGAGCAACGCCGCGUGAGUGAUGAAGGUUUUCGGAUCGUAAAACUCUGUUAUUAGGGAAGAACAUAUGUGUAAGUAACUGUGCACAUCUUGACGGUACCUAAUCAGAAAGCCACGGCUAACUACGUG
rnacentral:rRNA from 1 species